rnacentral:snRNA from 1 species
AUCGCUUCUCGGCCUUUUGGCUAAGAUCAAAGUGUAGUAUCUGUUCUUAUAAGCUUAAUCUCUGGUACGGUCUCCAUAGGGGAGAACCAGAAGAUUAAACUGAUUUUUUUCGGAAAAUGACCUAGUGCUAGAGGGCUUGUUCCACCUCUGUUGCGGGUUGACCCGGUAUUGCAGGCGCCACGGUAGCCGAGAGGUU